rnacentral:lncRNA from 1 species
GUGAGGGAUUGGGGGAAUGUGGGGGAAAGUCUGAGGCCAUUGGGGUCCUGCUAUGGGGCUGGUGCAGUGGCAGAGGAGUUCGGGGGAACCUGGAGGUGCACAGCUGGGGCAGACGGUGCCUGGGAGUGAUGGCUGUGGGCAACCUAGCUGGGGAGGCUGCUGAGGGAACUGGGGAGCUUCAGCCUUCAUCCCCCAGCCCCGAGAUGGGAGCCAGGGCUGGGCAGCACCUUGGCCUGUGCACCUCAGCCCCUGUUCUUCUUGCAGGUGCCUGCAGAGGGAGAUGCCCAAGGUGAGCACCAAGGGCUGCUGGCUGUGGGUUUUUUUGUAGGGAGUGGGGGGCAUGGCAGGGCCCUCAGGUACUGCAUGUGCAGGGGCAGAUUUGUCCUUCUGUGUGACUGCAUUCCCUGUGCAGAAGGCAUGGGAGAAGUGUCUUGCUGUGGGGUGGACUUCAGCUGAAUCCUGGAAGGAUUAUAGCAUCAUCCAUGGGAAUGGCCCAAAAGGCCCCGUGCUUCUUUGUGGCACUGGUGCUGCAGACCUUCAGGACAUUUUUUCUCUCCUCUCUCUGUUUGUCUCCAUGGUGCUGGUAGUGCUCAAGACUCUUCUGCUGACCCCAGCCAUUUCUAUGCCAACGUGGAUGAGAUGGGCAGAGUGAAGGUGAGUUCAGCCCCAGCCCAGACUUGCCGGCUGAGCGUGCACGUGAUGGUUGCGAGAGUGCAGGCUGUUGGAGAGCAAAUGCAAGCCAAAAGUGCAUCCGAUGGCAGGAGCCUGGGAGCUUUGCGUGGCUGUGCUCUGGCUGAAUCCCCCUCCUUCCAUGCUCCCAGCAUUUCCCCAUGGUGGGCACCGUGAGAGCAAGGCCACUCCUUGUUCUCCCUUGUGUUUUGCAGCUCUCUCAAUCCAACUGCUCUCAACAGCCACUGCAUGCCAAAAGCUGAGCAAGUGAGAGGCGAUGCUGCUGGUUCUCUGAGAGAGGCAGACAGCACUGGGGAAAGCCCUGCUGAUCUGCGAGCUCUGAAUAAAGCCAUCUCAAACAGGAAGAAGCUGGUGUAG